rnacentral:lncRNA from 1 species
AGAAGCACAACACUGAAGAAUUUGAAUUGGCAGUUUCCAAAAUCGUUGAAAAACGAAUGGAAGCGUUCGAAAUAGAAAAUGAAAAACGAUUUAAAAUGAUGGAACAACGGUUAAUUGACAAUAUACAUGUGAAUUUAAUAAAUGUUUUUAAAUUUAUUAAUUUUUGAAUAUCUUCAUUUAUUUUCAGGCUAAUGCUACAAGCAACGACCCGAAUCGUCCAUCAUCGAGUAAUGUUCCUGUUUUUUCUCAGUUGAACCAACUUAUUCCAUUAUCGAGAAAUUAUUGGGAAGAAGAUACUACUUUGAAUUCGACACCUCGACCAAAAGGUAAGACUUUAGAU